GGUGGGGAUGACGUCAAGUCCUCAUGGCCCUUACAGGCUGGGCUACACACGUGCUACAAUGGCAUCUACAGUGGGCAGCUAUUCCGCAAGGAUGCGCUAAUCUCCAAAAGAUGUCUCAGUUCGGAUUGUCCUCUGCAACUCGAGGGCAUGAAGGCGGAAUCGCUAGUAAUCGCGGAUCAGCAUGCCGCGGUGAAUACGUUCCCAGGCCUU
rnacentral:rRNA from 1 species